AGGUUGAAACUGCCCUUUGAAUGACCUAUGCUUCACAGAGAAGAUCCUCCUUGGCUCAUCAAACAUGCUUGGAAGGAGAAAACAUCAAUAAAUCACUCCUGAAACAUCCUACUCCAGUCAAGAGAACAGUGCUGACAUUUAGAGACAGGGGAAAUGUAAGAAAAUUCGCCUGGUUUUCCAAAAUAUUGAAUCCAGCAGGAGAGGAGUUUUGAGAAAGUGUGGGCCCAGACUGCUCAGGUUGCCUGUUACAGUACUUCCAGCUACUUGAAUGUAGAAUUGCUCCUGAACCUGGCACUGUGAAGCUAACCAGAACCUAAGCAAACAGCAAAAGGUAAAAGGCAAAGUGCAUCAAAGAACUAAUUUGCUGCUCCUUCCAUAUAAUUUGAUACACUUAUGACCUUAACCUAAUGCAGCUGUUGAGAACAA